GCAUAUCAAUAAGCGGAGGAAAAGAAACCAACAGGGAUUGCCCCAGUAACGGCGAGUGAAGCGGCAAAAGCUCAAAUUUGAAAUCCUGCGGGAAUUGUAAUUUGAAGGUUUCGUGGUCUGAGUCGGCCGCGCCCAAGUCCAUUGGAACAUGGCGCCUGGGAGGGUGAGAGCCCCGUAUGGCGCACGCCGACUCUUUGCACCGCGGCUCCGACGAGUCGAGUUGUUUGGGAAUGCAGCUCUAAGUGGGUGGUAAAUUCCAUCUAAAGCUAAAUAUUGGCGAGAGACCGAUAGCGAACAAGUACAGUGAUGGAAAGAUGAAAAGCACUUUGAAAAGAGAGUGAAACAGCACGUGAAAUUGUUGAAAGGGAAGGGCUUGCAAGCAGACACGGUUUUACCGGGCCAGCGUCGAAAAGGGGGGAGGAACAAGAACUCGAGAAUGUGGCGCGCACCUUCGGGCGCGCGUGUUAUAGCUCGUGUUGACGCCUCCAUCCCUUUUCGAGGCCUGCGAUUCUAGGACGCUGGCGUAAUGGUUGCAAGCCGCCCGUCUUGAAACACACGGACC
rnacentral:rRNA from 1 species